UCCCAAAGUGCUGGGAUGAUAGGCAUAAGCCACCACGCCCGGCCUUUCCCAAGGUUUUGAUAAAGACUUCCUUCUUAUCUUUAUAGGGAGAAACAUACGAAGACUUGGCAAGCUCAAAGGCCAUGUAGCCUCCAGCAACCACCAUUCUACUCUCUGCUUCUGUGAAUUCAACUUUUGAAGAUUCCACAUACAAUUUCUGUGGGUCAGGAAUCAAGGAAAAGAUUUGUUGGAUGCCUUUGCCUUAAUGUCUCUUCAAGGCUGCAGUCAAGGUGUUGGCUGGGGCUGCAGUUUCAUCUGAAGACUCAACUGGGAAAGGAUCUGUUGUCAAGCUCAUUUGUAUGGUUAAUUGUAAAUUUAUGAAAUAGCACAAAGCCAAGUUGAAGACAAUAUCUUCCCUAAUAACAGUAGUGCAAUGACAGCCAGCCAGAAAAGUUCUCCACCUUGGCAGCAAUGAGACUAAGACUUUUAUGCCUGAAUUGCUAUCUUUUUUUUCCAGAGUAAAGAGGGAGUACAUGAAAAAAGAAACCAGGAUUUGCCUUAAAGAUCUGUAUGAAAAAAAAGUAAUCAUUUAAAAGA